AGUGAACGCUGGCGGUAGGCCUAACACAUGCAAGUCGAACGGCAGCACAGCAGUAGCAAUACUGUGGGUGGCGAGUGGCGGACGGGUGAGGAAUACAUCGGAAUCUACCUUUUCGUGGGGGAGUAACGUAGGGAACGUUACGCUAUACCGCAUACGACCUUAGGGUGAAGUAGGGAGUCGCAAGACCUUACGCGGAUAGAUGAGCCGAUGUCGGAUUAGCUAGUUGGCGGGGGUAAAGGGACCCG
rnacentral:rRNA from 1 species